AAAAAAAAAAAAAAAAAACCAAAUCUUAGUCCAGAUGAGAUCAAGAAAGUGUCAUGUAGAUGUAGUGCUACUUAAGACCAACUAACAAGGAAGAACUAAUAAAUAACAAUGUCACAUUCAGUCACCAGCUGGAACUGAUGAACUGUGUUUGAUAGACACAUUCAGAGUGAUUCAGUAUGAAGAAUGACUUUCCUUGGACAGAAGUAUCAAAACCCUAUAAACUCAUGAAAUGAAAAUGUCAAAAACCAAAAAUUGCACCACGUUAAGUGCAACAGAACUAAAAUGACAAGUUGUCUUCACACACAUUUUGAACAACAAAAAUAGGGAAGUAGGCUUUCCUACCUUUCAGUCACACCUAAAUUAAGAAGCAAGGCCAUUGCCCAAAAGCCAACUAUCAUUAUCCAAGCUCACUUUUACCACAGGAAUGGCAAUUGCAGCAAAUAUAACCAGCAUGUUUCUAGAUGAAAUGAUCAUUCACAGGAAGAUCACCAACACAGAUCACCAUUUUGAGAGAGAGAGAGAGAGAG
rnacentral:misc_RNA from 1 species